rnacentral:rRNA from 1 species
GACGAACGCUGACGGCGUGCUUAACACAUGCAAGUCGAAGGGAGUGGCGAACGGGUGAGUAACACGUGAGUAACCUGCCCUUUUCUUUGGGAUAAGCCUGGGAAACUGGGUCUAAUACUGGAUGGAUUGGGAUGGGCUCGCGGCUUAUCAGCUUGUUGGUGGGGUGAUGGCUUACCAAGGCGUUGACGGGUAGCCGGUCUGAGAGGGUGGUCGGCCACACUGGGACUGAGAUACGGCCCAGACUCCUACGGGAGGCAGCAGUGGGGGAUAUUGCACAAUGGACGAAAGCCUGACGCAGCAAUGCCGCGUGUGUGAUGAAGGCCUUAGGGUCGUAAAGCUCUUUCAUUCGGGAAGCGUUACCUAAACAGAAAGCACCGGCUAACUACGUGCCAGCAGCCGCGGUAAUAC